AUUAGAAAACAAAAACACAUAACAACAGAUGAAAAAAAAAUCACAUGUAGCAAAACAAUUUCCCCUCCUUCCCCACACAAAACUAACAUUGAAAAUGAAACAAAAUACAAAAUGAGAAAAACAAAUAAAUGUAACCAAAAUGUUUUCGAAAGAAGUGCCAUGUUUCUUAAUUAGCUUUCAUCCGAAUUGAACUCAAGUUUUGAUCAGCCAGCACUUUUCUAUGAUUCCUUUGGUUCAUCCACUUUAAACUCCCUUUUUUGGAAUGAAAUUUUUAAUCACAAAGGACUAGUUUCACUGUUUAAACGUUAUAGAAACAACAUAGAAACAUAACAAAACUCCCUUUUAUAUAACACUCAAGAAUGCAAUUUGUAGUUUUUUAAAUAAACCGUUGAUGAAACUGACUAAGAGGAA